rnacentral:rRNA from 1 species
UACGUAGGGCGCAAGCGUUGUCCGGAAUUACUGGGCGUAAAGCGUGUGUAGGCGGCUUGGCAAGUCGGAUGUGAAGGCCCUGGGCUCAACCCAGGAAGUGCACUCGAUACUGCCGAGCUUGAGUAUCGGAGAGGUGGGUGGAAUUCUCGGUGUAGAGGUGAAAUUCGUAGAUAUCGAGAGGAACACCGGCGGCGAAGGCGGCCCACUGGACGAAUACUGACGCUGAGACACGAAAGCGUGGGGAGCGAACAGG